rnacentral:rRNA from 1 species
GACAGAGGGUGCAAACGUUGUUCGGAAUUACUGGGCGUAAAGCGUGCGUAGGCGGUUCGCUGUGUCCGAUGUGAAAGCCCCGGGCUUAACCUGGGAAUGGCAUUGGAAACUGGCGGGCUUGAGUGCGGCAGAGGGGGGUGGAAUUCCGCGUGUAGCAGUGAAAUGCGUAGAGAUGCGGAGGAACACCGAUGGCGAAGGCAGCCCCCUGGGUCGACACUGACGCCUCAGGCACGAAAGCGUGGGGAGCAAACAGG